UACUUUAGAUCAAAUCUGCAUCCUGAGAGAUGAUGGUGGUCAUUCAAUCUGAGCAGAGAUUAUCACAGAAUACUGGGUAGAGUUCUUCGUGCUAUACAGCAGGUCCCUGUUGCCCAAUCAUUCCAUAUACCUCAGUCUGCAUGUGGCAACACCAACAGCCCAUCCCUCCCAUCCCUCAGCCUGUCCCCUUUGAUUUUCAAUUGCAAAAAUUACAACAUGGUGAUGCGUUGACUGCUGAAGCCUGAGGUGGUGAGAGAUGCAGCUGGAGGGUAGAAGGGGUCCAAGCGUGAAGAGGUAGAGCAUGUUAAGGAUGGUGCCAAUGCAAGAACACAGCGGGGCUGGAAGGGGAGAGACAGGAGCCAAUGUGUAUUUUGUGGAGAAUUUCUUAAGCUUCAUUGGGAUAACAGCAUCUUAAAGAAGACACUAUGAAGCAGGUCCCCGCCAAAGAGUUGGAGUCUAGAUAGGGUAACAUCCAAGAUUAGUGGAUCUUAACUCUGAAUGUACACUUUUGUAGAAAACUGAAACACUGCUUAAUUGCUUUUCCAGAAUUAUCUUGUGGUCACAGUUGCUCUUAUAAUUAACAAAAAGUCAAGGUUUAUAUUUCCUUGAGAAAAUUUCAAAAUUCUAAUCUGGAAAUAGCUCACACAGAAAUACAGUAAAUGAGAAGAAGGAACACUAAUAAAUUAUAAACUUGAAUCUAAUUAGCAGGGAAA